UACGUAGGGUGCGAGCGUUAAUCGGAAUUACUGGGCGUAAAGCGUGCGCAGGCGGUUUGUUAAGACAGAUGUGAAAUCCCCGGGCUUAACCUGGGAACUGCAUUUGUGACUGGCAAGCUAGAGUAUGGCAGAGGGGGGGUAGAAUUCCACGUGUAGCAGUGAAAUGCGUAGAGAUGUGGAGGAAUACCGAUGGCGAAGGCAGCCCCCUGGGCCCAAUACUGACGCUCAUGCACGAAAGCGUGGGGAGCAAACGAGGAUUACGAAACCCGGAG
rnacentral:rRNA from 1 species